rnacentral:rRNA from 1 species
AGGUGGUGCAUGGUUGUCGUCAGCUCGUGUCGUGAGAUGUUGGGUUAAGUCCCGCAACGAGCGCAACCCUUAAGCUUAGUUGCCAUCAUUAAGUUGGGCACUCUAAGUUGACUGCCGGUGACAAACCGGAGGAAGGUGGGGAUGACGUCAAAUCAUCAUGCCCCUUAUGAUUUGGGCUACACACGUGCUACAAUGGACAAUACAAAGGGCAGCGAAACCGCGAGGUCAAGCAAAUCCCAUAAAGUUGUUCUCAGUUCGGAUUGUAGUCUGCAACUCGACUACAUGAAGCUGGAAUCGCUAGUAAUCGUAGAUCAGC